AAAUGAAUAGACGGGACCCCGCACAAGCGGUGGAUCAUGUUGUUUAAUUCGAAGAUACGCGAAAAACCUUACCAGGUCUUGACAUACUUCGCAAAGCUAUAGAGAUAUAGUGGAGGUUAACGGAGAUACAGGUGGUGCAUGGUUGUCGUCAGCUCGUGUCGUGAGAUGUUGGGUUAAGUCCCGCAACGAGCGCAACCCCUGUUGCUAGUUGCCAUCAUUAAGUUGGGGACUCUAGCGAGACUGCCAGUGAUAAACUGGAGGAAGGUGGGGAUGACGUCAAAUCAUCAUGCCCCUUAUGACCUGGGCUACAAACGUGAUACAAUGGCUGUAACAAAGAGCGGCAAGAGGGCGACCUUAAGCAAAACUCAGAAAAGCAGUCACAGUUCGGAUUAGAGUCUGCAACUCGACUCUAUGAAGCAGGAAUCGCUAGUAAUCGUAGAUCAGAAUGCUACGGUGAAUACGUUCUCGGGGUUUGUACACACCGCCCGU
rnacentral:rRNA from 1 species